CUCCAUGCCGCCGCCUCCACAUCAGCCGAUCUCCGCGCCGCCGCCUCCACAGCGGUCAAUCUCCAUGCCUCCGCCCCCAUGCUGGUCGAUCUGCACGCCUCCCACCACCGCCCAACGCCGACCGGGGCUUCCUCCAAUCGAUCCCCACCCCGUCCCACCGCCGCCCAACGCCAUCGAUCUUGCCCCUCCGGCCGUGGUCAAGCACUCCCCGGAGGCACUGCUGCUCGUGGUGUCCAACCCCGUUGACGUCCUCACCUACCUUGCCUUGAAGCUUCCAGGGUUGUGUUCGAGGUGAGCGGCGUCAUCUGCUCCGGUACCAACCUCGAUGUCUCCAGGAUCUGGUUCCUCAUCAACGAGCCCUCCUCCAUUCAACGCGCAGGACAUGCAGGAUUCCCAGCCCACCCCAGCAUCCCCUUCAACCCUGAACCUGUUUACUGUUGCGCCUCUGCAACCUUAUAGGCCGCCACAGUCGAUGCAGCAGCUAGUAGCAGGGCCCAUUGUCGUCAUCGCGCAUCCCAGGUUCAUCUGCUUGCUGCUGUUUCGGCCAUCGCUGAAACCAACCAGGAGUUGGUGGCCUCAAAGCACCAAGCUCAAGCGCCUCUCCAUCAUCAAGUAAAAUGUCAACCUGAAAAUCGUCUAGGAAGCAGGGUACAUCCCCAAGAGCCCCAAUUGCAGGUAAAGAUAAUAAAAGACAACUCUGUAACUUUCUAAGAAACACACGAGUAGAAAAUUGUUGUAUGCAGAAGUGAUGCUAGACAUGCUUGUGUUUUUUGUGUAUAUUAAUCUGACAGAACUAUAUGACCCUAAUGAUGGGUCUUGGAUGCACUACUUUAACCUGAAGAGCAUCUUAUUUGUGCCCUGUUUCCAGAAUAUUUUAAAUAUCUGAAUGUUAUGAUAAAUGAAAUCAAACCAUUUCUUGUACCAUUGGUGGUUUAAUGUCUCCGUUGUUCCCAUUCGAGUGGCCUCAUAGUUUUCUGAGCAAGAAAUAUGAUCUGAAGUGAUCAUUUUUUCUGUGCACUAGCUCUCUUCUAGUAGAACACAAUCUAUACUGCUGGUUUUUCAUGUUUGUUUGUAGUUAGAUAAUUAUCACUAUAUAUUUAUAUAAAUGUAUAUUGAUACUUCUUAUAUUUAUAUUAAGGACCCUUGGGUUCAUAGUUACUGUACACCUUCUACUCAAUAUUUGACAGAGUAACAAAAGAUGGUUGAUAAAUAUGUUGCUCUGAACCUUGGCUUAUUAAGUGGCGGAGCUUUGAUAGGGCGAACCUAGGCACCCCAGGUCAUUUACUUAGAAGACGAGCACUCCACCAGGCUGUUUGUAGUAAACAACUUUGGCGAUGCUCACGACAGGCAGUGACGCUAUGUGAUGGUGUCGAGCGUUGGGUAGGAAAUCAUAACAUCAUCAACUCUGCCUCACCUCUUCCACUAGUGUUGUCCGAUGAUGUUCAAGUUGGAGGAUGUUCUGCAAUGAGAUGUAGAAUGAAGGCUUUGAUGUCAAGUACGAGAACGAUGCAAGGAUGUUGGUGGAAGGCUGUGAGGAUGGGUAUGUAGUUGCCCACUACAAGGAGCCAAGGCAGAUGAUGUGCCUCUUAGAAAAAUUCCAGUAAACAACACUAGGAAUUUUUGCUCUCAGACAAUGAACCAUAAUGUCUCCUCUAUUUCAUUAGUUACAUCAGUUUAUAGGAAACUUGGAUGGCCAUUGGUUCAUAACAUAUGCACUAUUUAUAUGUAAAAAUUAAUGAAUGUGUGUUAUAAUUGUUUGGUUCUGAUAUAUUAUUCUUGGUCGACAUGAA